GUCCAAAUUGCAACAUUGGUAAAAAAGAGUGGCCCAAGAUGUAAUUUACUCAAAAAAAUAAUUACAGAAUCUACUAAUCUCAAGCUGGCCAUUCUGCCAGCAUUCUAUUGCUUCAAAUGGCACUGUAAUUUAAUUAUACGUGGAGCAACGAGAUAAAAGACAUGCUGUGCACAGCGAUCUGAUGUACUGUCUCGCAACUCGCAAGUAUAUCUUUCUGGAUCUCUCAAAAAAAUGCUUCUAAUCGCCCGUCCGGUGGGAAGCCAAAUAUCGGACGCAUCGCUGCUGCUGCCGGGGCUCACACGCUGCCUGUUGUGCCGCCCACGUCUCUCUCACGCGCGCAGAGUCCUCAUGCUGCCACGUAUCCCCACCACAUAUUCCGUUGCAAUAAAUCACCUACAUAUUUUGGAAAACCCUCUUUUAAGGGAAUCUGUUUUUUUUUCCACUAAAAAUGUUACACCUAGUGUACUCACAAUGUUUCACUAUGUAUAGAUCUAAUGUUGCAAUGAAUUGAAACAUUCUUUUGCAACAAAUCACCCAUAUAUUAUGGAAACCCUUUAUUAAGGGAACUCGUUUCAUUUUUUGUUCCACAAAAAAUGUUUCACCUAGUGUAUUGAUAAUAUUUCACUAUGUAUGGAUCAAAUGUUAUAGUGAAUUAAAACAUCCUUUCGCUAUUCGCUGAAACAUUAUUUUCAUAUAAGGUGAAACAGUGUCUGAUGAAAUAUUUUCGAUCUAGUUAGUUAAACAAUUCCGAUAUACUUGGUGCAACAGCGUGUAACAUUUAAAAAUAAUUCAAUAAUAAGCUCAAUUUUUUUCAUUGGAUUAUAUCCAUGUGUGGUCUUGUUUUAAAGAUUUAAUUGCAAUGGAUUUAAUAGUGCAAUCAGAUCAUGAUUUGGAUAAAUAAUUUAAGAGAAAAAAUAGUUUAAAGUUCGCUUAGAUGCAUACAUGCAGGAUGACAUCAUGAUGACAUGGGUGCCCGAUUUUUCUAAAAAAAAUGGGACUUCCGAUUUGUAGCUCUCUCCGGAUCUCUUGCAUAUGCGCACCCAGCCGCAGUGCAUGCAUGUGCAUUAAUAAUUAGAAUUUAACAUUAAUAUCAUUUAAAAUCUAAGACAAGAUACAUCUCAAAAGAAAACCAAUUAUUUAAAUAUUAAAUAAUUAAAUUAAAUAUAUAAAAAGAGUAGCAAGUAUUGAAAACAAUUAAAAAUGAAAAAAAUGUGCUAAUCCACAAAUUUUACUUUUUUUAAGGUAAGUCAGUUGAAAAAUGUUCCAAUAAAUAUGAUAAGUGACAUUGUUUAAAUUCAAAAUAGGUAACUUAACCAAGUUGAUAUCCCAUAUCUUUAACUAUUAUAAAAAUUCAACAUGUUUUUAUCAACAAUUUCGUACGUCGCCCAUACGAUUCGCACGCGUAUUUUCCUGUGUUGUCCGACUCUUGAUCAAGGCGCACGAAUUUUUGCUGUGAAAAUCUCUUUUCUGUUUGAUUCCCUUACUAGAUAACAUCCGUAUUUUUCACACGUCAGGAUAUAGGCCUACGUAGCUUCCAUUCAGGCCUAGGCCCACUAAUCCAAUUUGUUUGCACCAAAAACAGAUACAAGCAUGAUCUACUGACGAGAACCCCUUUGAGCGGCUAAAAAACAUCUUCGGGAAAAAUUAACUCCUAUUAUAUAUAUAUCUAUAUACCUAAUUUAUAUCUAUACCUAAUAAAAAAAAUGUAAUAACAUCUCCCAGGCCGCGCCGUGCCUCGGCCCCUCCUCCUCCUUCGUCGGAAGCCGUCGGGCCGCCGUCCAUGUCGCCUCCCCGAGGAGCCCGCUGCUGCCACCACUUGCUGCCGUGCCCUUUUGGCCGCCGCCCCUCGCCAGCGCCCCAUGGUGAGGACCCCCUCCCUCUCCCAUCCCUUCCGCUGCUCCGCGCGCUGCCACUCACCGCCGGUGUCGCCGCUGGUGGCCGUCCGGCUACACGCCGCCGCCGCCUAGUCGAGUUGGCCGGCGAGCCAACCCGCCCCUCUGCCACGCACCACUACCGUGGACUCGGUCUACAGUGGACCAAAUCCUUUGACCCGCUGAUGUGUGGGGCCCGCCCUUUGUGGACUUGGUCCGCGCCUCUCUCCUUGUUGCGGCAGCAAAUGCCUUUUCCUUUGUAAAAUUAAUUAAUAAUUACGCAAUAAAUCAAUAAUAAUUCUAGAAAUUCAUUUAAAUGGCUCAAAACUUCUAAAAUUCAUAUCUAAUUCAUACGAACUCCGAAUUGAGCCAUUCAACUUGCAAAAUUCAUCUAAAAUUGAGAUAUACAUGUUUGUUUACUUUUUAUGUUAUUUGUUUUUCUAGUCCGUUAGUAAACCGCGAGACAAAUUUAUUAAGCCUAAUUAAUCCGUCAUUAGCAAAUGUUUACUGCAGCACCAUAUUGUCAAAUCAUAUAGCAAUUAUGCUUAAAAGAUUCAUCUCGCAAAUUAGUCACAAUUUGUGUAAUUAGUUACUUUAUACAUGUGUUCAAACGUUCGAUGUGAAAAGAUGUAAAAUUUUGGGGUGGGAUAGCCUUACUAAUACUACCACAUGUGUUUCUCACUCUACUUUUCGGAGUUGCACUGCUCAGCCGCGCGGCGGCGCGGGUGUUGGGUGGACUUCGACGCGCGCACCUCGCUUGUCAACGUCACCAUGGCUCCCCUCGAGCUGCCCAAACCGAGGACGCCGCUGCUCUCCGCCGCCGUGAACCUCUCGGCCGUGAUAGAAGACGAAGCCUACGUCGGCUUCUCCUCGUCCACCGGCGUCGUCGCGAGCCGCGCGCCACUACGUGCUUGCCUGGAGCUUCAAGAUGGACGGGCCAGCACCAUCGCUAAACGUAUCAAACCUGCCGGCGUUGCCUGUCACGAUCGGCAGGGCUCCGUCCAACGUUCUGAAGAUACUAUUGCCGAUAGCCUCGAUCGGCUGUUCUCGUCAUUCACCGGAGACGACGUAGGUAUGCGGAGCUUAAAGAGGAUUGGGAGGUUGCGUUUGGGCCACUGGUUCUCAUACAAGGAUAUGUUCCGUGCCACCAAUGGUUUCUCUUAUGAGCGAUUGCUUGGCUUUGGAGGAUUUGGAAGGGUGUACAAGGUGAGUGCUUCUGGUAUCCCGAGUGGAGAUUGCCGUGAAGGUGUCCCUUGAAUCCUCUCCCUACACCCAUUACUGCCCCCUCAAUGGUGAAUCCUUCCACCUCACCUGCACCUGCGGCAUACCCGCUGCCGACGACUUCAACCUCUCCUCCUUCUGCAUCAUUGACAAACCCAACAUCAAACCCAAUGACGCCUGCUAUCAGCAUGCCACCUCCUGCUCUCACCACAACUCCACCCACUGCCCCAGGUCUUUCCGGGCAGCAACUAUGGUGUGUGGCCAAGGCUGACUCAGCAGAUACUGCACUUAAGAAUGCACUGGACUAAGCGUGCGGCAUUGGAGGAGCAGAUUGCUUAGCAAUACAACCAUCAGGCACUUGUUAUUAUCCAAAUACCUUAGGUGCACAUGCAUCCUAUCACUACCGGAGAAGUGAUCUUUGCCUGGUGGAAAAAAACCACAAUAGUCCCAGUUCCAAAAACUAUCUUUAGCCCCGGUUAAAAAUCUCACAACCAUUAUAUGAUCUUUAGUCCCGAUUGGUAACAACAACCGGGACUAAAGAUGGUUCAUCCCCUGUCAGCCUGUCAGGGUGCUAAUGAUCUUUAGUCCCGAUUGGUGCACCAACCGGGACUAAAGAUCACUAUUUUAAUCCCGGUUGGUAUUUCUAACCGGCACUAAAGAUUAAGAUGAUCAUUAGUCCCGGUUGGUAUUACCAACCGGGAUUAAAAUUUAAUGCGUAGUAUAUAAUCACUCUCCCUUAUUCUCUCAACCACACUUAUCCUCUCAACCCACAGAUCCGGCCCCUUCUCUUCUUCCUCCUCCCCUUCCUCCUCCCUCCCACAGAUCCCCUCUCCUCCCCUCUUCCUCCCUUUCCAUCCGGCGGGCAGGCGGCCGGCGGCCAGUGGGGCCACGCCCGGCGGCAGCGGCCGGCGGGGCCGCGCGCUGCAGCGGCGGGAAGGCGGCCGGCAGGCCCGCGCACGGCGGCGGGGCCACAGGCGGCGGGCGCCGGCGGGCAUGGGGCCGGCGGCCGGUGGGGCAGCAUCGGCGCCCUCUCCUCCUUUCUUUUUUUUUUCAUAUAAUUUGUGAUUCACUAAGAUGUAUAAUUUGGUGAUUCAUUGCAUUGAUCUGAUUUGUGAUGUAUUUGAUUUGGAACACAACAGUCUUAAUUUGUGAUUCACUUGUGAUGUAUUUGAUUUGUGUGUAUAAAUAACUUAAAGAUUUGGGAUGUGAAUGAUUUGGGAUGUCACUUUUGAUUUGGGGAUUUAGGGUUUGAUUUGGGAAUAUGCAUCCCACUGGAUUUGGGAGAAAAUACAGGGAUUAAAGAAAAAGAAAAGGGGACGAAGGACCGCCGCUAUUCUCUCUUUAGUCCUAAAGAUCUAUUUUUAGUCCCGGUUAUUUCAACCGGGACUAAAAAUGGGUAUCUUUAGUCCCAGAUUCCUCGUCCCGAUUGCAUAACCGGGGAAAAAAAAACAGUUGCCACCCGGUGGCAAAGAUCAGUUGUGCAGCAGUGUACGCUUUCAACAGCUAUUACCAGAGGAGCCCUGCACCCUCCAGCUGCGAUUUUUGGGGGACGACAAUGCUUGUCAAUGUGAAUCCCAGUAAGGAUGAAUCUCCUCUCAUUUCAAUGUCAUUAUGUUUGUGUUGUAAAGAUCAUUUUAUGUGUGUAUAUUUCCUUUGCAGGCUCAGGAAGCUGUGUUUUGGCAUCGUCAAUGUCGUUACCAUCAAGGUGAAAAUCAUUUCAACUCUGAAAAGGAAUUGUGAUGGUAGGGUUUUUGGAAGGAACAGUGAUGAUUAUUGGUGCUGGGUUUGUAGAUGGGACUGUGAUUGGCAUCGUUGGAUUAGUUGCCUGUUCAUCGUGGGCAGUUUGUUUGCCUGCAGUUUUAACUAACAAAUAGUUAAUUAGUCAUUGAGUGUCAUCAUUAGCAAACCAAAGGCUUUUAUUAUGUCCUGAUUAAGCUCAGGUCAGCCUUCUAAAAGAUGUACUAGUACUUAAUCAAAGAGUAGUCGUUUUUUUUUAAAAAAAACAGGACACAAUUUGUAAUAUCCAUGAGUAGGAAACGGUCGUGAUUCAGGCAAUUAAAAAGGACUAAUGAUCCAUUAGGUGGGAUGUGGGAUUGAACAUAGAUAAACUAGUUGGCAGCCCGCGUAUUUGCCGCGGGUUUUAUAGUUUUAUCGUCAAACAAAAUCAUAAAAAUGGUUAGGUGUAACUCUAUGUAUAUACAAAAUAUAUGAUAAUAUGGAUUUAUAUAUGUCUUAUGUUAUUACAAUACAAUUUAGCUUUAUUUUUUCAAACAUCAUUGUGUAUUGUUAUAAUAUAUGAAUAUUAUUUUCAUAUGCAAUAUGGGUUUCGUUAUAGUUAGACAAUUUACAUUUCUCUACUUCACUCAAGUUUUUUCUGAAAAUAGAUUCAGGUAACGAUACCUAAUAAUUAUAUGCUAUUUUGUCAUGCGUAAUAAAAAAAACAUACAUAUUAAACAAUAAUCACAUAAUAAACAAUAAUUUGAGUAGUAUUUGGAAAACAUGGUGUUAUGCACAAAAUAUAUAACAGUGCUAUGUGUGACAGUGAGGUAGAGCAAAGGGAGGUGAAUGGAUAACUAAUAAAUGAUUGAAUUGGAUGAAUAAGUGGCUUCUUGAUCCAAUGGUUAUUAUCUUUAUACUAAUAUUUUAUACUAAUAUGAUCAAAUGGCUUAAAAUUUUUGAUGACGUAGCUUCUUACAUGUCUUACUUUAUAGGAAUAAAUGCCCCUAGUGUGUACCAACUAUAUAGAAAGAUAGGAUUAGAUUUCCUUUCCAUGCUCUUGUAAUAUUCUACUAGUAGUAAGAAAAGAGACGAAAUAGCGUUAUGUCGUGGUUCCCCCAUUCCAUUGGAUGGUGUAUUAUCAAAUUUCUCGGUCCAAAGAACAAGACCAAAUUGUUAAUUUGGUCAAGUCCAAUCCCUCGUCACGCUAAGCUCUUGCAACCAAACAGGAAUGUACAAGUCGAAAUACCUCUAAAACUGGUGUAGGAUUAAAGGAAUGAUGAAAAACCGUAGUCAUAUGCUAGCCAAAUGGAGGAGCAAACGCGGUGCAUUAGGGAGCUAGAGGGAAGGAAAAGGGAAAAACAUGGGAACAGAAAGGAAGAUCUGGCCUUGUGGACGCCAGCAGCAACUAUACAACACUUUGAUAGUUCAUACACAGUGAACUGAACUGAAGGUGCAGAUGGAAGCAGAGGAAUAAGCACACAGACCUGAGCAGCAGGGAAGCGCGCGGGAGAGGAUGCAGGAGCAGGAGAGGAGGAGGAGGAAGAGGAAGAGGAAGAGGAAGAAGAAGAUAUCCUAUCUCCUGGCCAUAGUUGUGCUGUGUUGCUGGGAAGCUCAAGAAAUGCGAUUUGGGAGUGGAGAAAGGGACAUAGGGGAGUGGGGAACUGGCGAUAUGACUAGAGAG
rnacentral:lncRNA from 1 species